UGGGGAAUAUUGCACAAUGGGGGAAACCCUGAUGCAGCGACGCCGCGUGGAGGAAGAAGGUCUUCGGAUUGUAAACUCCUGUUGUUGGGGAAGAUAAUGACGGUACCCAACAAGGAAGUGACGGCUAACUACGUGCCAGCAGCCGCGGUAAAACGUAGGUCACAAGCGUUGUCCGGAAUUACUGGGUGUAAAGGGAGCGCAGGCGGGAAGACAAGUUGGAAGUGAAAUCCAUGGGCUCAACCCAUGAACUGCUUUCAAAACUGUUUUUCUUGAGUAGUGCAGAGGUAGGCGGAAUUCCCGGUGUAGCGGUGGAAUGCGUAGAUAUCGGGAGGAACACCAGUGGCGAAGGCGGCCUACUGGGCACCAACUGACGCUGAGGCUCGAAAGUGUGGGUAGCAAACAGGAUUAGAUACCCUGGUAGUCCACACCGUAAACGAUGAUUACUAGGUGUUGGAGGAUUGACCCCUUCAGUGCCGCAGUUAACACAAUAAGUAAUCCACCUGGGGAGUACGACCGCAAGGUUGAAACUCAAAGGAAUUGACGGGGGUCCGCACAAGCAGUGGAGUAUGUGGUUUAAUUCGACGCAACGCGAAGAACCUUACCAAGUCUUGACAUCCGUUGACCGCUGUAGAAAUACAGUUUUCCUUCGGGACAGCGAGACAGGUGGUGCAUGGUUGUCGUCAGCUCGUGUCGUGAGAUGUUGGGUUAAGUCCCGCAACGAGCGCAACCCUUAUGGUCAGUUACUACGCAAGAGGACUCUGGCCAGACUGCCGUUGACAAAACGGAGGAAGGUGGGGAUGACGUCAAAUCAUCAUGCCCUUUAUGACUUGGGCUACACACGUACUACAAUGGCGUUAAACAAAGAGAAGCAAGACCGCGAGGUGGAGCAAAACUCAGAAACAACGUCCCAGUUCGGACUGCAGGCUGCAACUCGCCUGCACGAAGUCGGAAUUGCUAGUAAUCGUGGAUCAGCAUGCCACGGUGAAUACGUUCCC
rnacentral:rRNA from 1 species